rnacentral:rRNA from 1 species
UACGAAGGGAGCUAGCGUUGCUCGGAAUCACUGGGCGUAAAGCGCACGUAGGCGGCUUUCUAAGUCAGGGGUGAAAUCCUGGAGCUCAACCCCAGAACUGCCUUUGAUACUGGAGAGCUUGAGUCCGGGAGAGGUGAGUGGAACUCCGAGUGUAGAGGUGAAAUUCGUAGAUAUUCGGAAGAACACCAGUGGCGAAGGCGGCUCACUGGCCCGGUACUGACGCUGAGGUGCGAAAGCGUGGGGAGCAAACAGG